rnacentral:rRNA from 1 species
UACAGAGGUCCCAAGCGUUGUUCGGAUUCACUGGGCGUAAAGGGUGCGCAGGUGGGCUGGUAAGUUCGAUGUGAAAUCCCCGGGCUCAACCCGGGAACUGCGUCCGAUACUGGAAGGCUUGAAUCCGGGAGAGGGAUGCGGAAUUCCAGGUGUAGCGGUGAAAUGCGUAGAUAUCUGGAGGAACACCGGUGGCGAAGGCGGCAUCCUGGACCGGCAUUGACGCUGAGGCGCGAAAGCCAGGGGAGCAAACGGG